CAGAUUGAACGCUGGCGGCAGGCCUAACACAUGCAAGUCGAACGGUAACAGGAAGCAGCUUGCUGCUUUGCUGACGAGUGGCGGACGGGUGAGUAAUGUCUGGGAAACUGCCUGAUGGAGGGGGAUAACUACUGGAAACGGUGGCUAAUACCGCAUAACGUCGCAAGACCAAAGAGGGGGACCUUCGGGCCUCUUGCCAUCAGAUGUGCCCAGAUGGGAUUAGCUUGUUGGUGAGGUAACGGCUCACCAAGGCGACGAUCCCUAGCUGGUCUGAGAGGAUGACCAGCCACACUGGAACUGAGACACGGUCCAGACUCCUACGGGAGGCAGCAGUGGGGAAUAUUGCACAAUGGGCGCAAGCCUGAUGCAGCCAUGCCGCGUGUAUGAAGAAGGCCUUCGGGUUGUAAAGUACUUUCAGCGGGGAGGAAGGUGUUGUGGUUAAUAACCGCAGCAAUUGACGUUACCCGCAGAAGAAGCACCGGCUAACUCCGUGCCAGCAGCCGCGGUAAUACGGAGGGUGCAAGCGUUAAUCGGAAUUACUGGGCGUAAAGCGCACGCAGGCGGUCUGUCAAGUCGGAUGUGAAAUCCCCGGGCUCAACCUGGGAACUGCAUUCGAAACUGGCAGGCUUGAGUCUUGUAGAGGGGGGUAGAAUUCCAGGUGUAGCGGUGAAAUGCGUAGAGAUCUGGAGGAAUACCGGUGGCGAAGGCGGCCCCCUGGACAAAGACUGACGCUCAGGUGCGAAAGCGUGGGGAGCAAACAGGAUUAGAUACCCUGGUAGUCCACGCCGUAAACGAUGUCUACUUGGAGGUUGUGCCCUUGAGGCGUGGCUUCCGGAGCUAACGCGUUAAGUAGACCGCCUGGGGAGUACGGCCGCAAGGUUAAAACUCAAAUGAAUUGACGGGGGCCCGCACAAGCGGUGGAGCAUGUGGUUUAAUUCGAUGCAACGCGAAGAACCUUACCUGGUCUUGACAUCCACAGAAGAAUCCAGAGAUGGAUUUGUGCCUUCGGGAACUGUGAGACAGGUGCUGCAUGGCUGUCGUCAGCUCGUGUUGUGAAAUGUUGGGUUAAGUCCCGCAACGAGCGCAACCCUUAUCCUUUGUUGCCAGCGGUUAGGCCGGGAACUCAAAGGAGACUGCCAGUGAUAAACUGGAGGAAGGUGGGGAUGACGUCAAGUCAUCAUGGCCCUUACGACCAGGGCUACACACGUGCUACAAUGGCGCAUACAAAGAGAAGCGACCUCGCGAGAGCAAGCGGACCUCAUAAAGUGCGUCGUAGUCCGGAUUGGAGUCUGCAACUCGACUCCAUGAAGUCGGAAUCGCUAGUAAUCGUGGAUCAGAAUGCCACGGUGAAUACGUUCCCGGGCCUUGUACACACCGCCCGUCACACCAUGGGAGUGGGUUGCAAAAGAAGUAGGUAGCUUAACCUUCGGGAGGGCGCUUACCACUUUGUGAUUCAUGACUGGGGUGAAGUCGUAACAAGGUAACCGUAGGGGAACCUGCGGUUGGA
rnacentral:rRNA from 3 species